AUCCCUAUUAUGAGUAUCAAUUUGAUAGUUGAUAAUAUCUAUCAACUAUUUGAUGAAUCGGUAUUAUGAACAUCAACUUUUAAUUUUUGAACCGAUUGUGAAUAGUUUAUUGUGAAUGAGAUUUUUUUCUCGUUUGACGUUUUCAAUUAUUGUUUUAAAAUUUUGUUGUGUCUGGACUUCUGGAGUUAAAAUUGUUUUGCGAAAAUGAACAGAAUAGUUAGUAACAGGAAGCAAUUGGAAAGAAUGGUAGAAUUGAUGGAGCAAAAUCCUGAAGUGGCAAGGGGGAUGUUGUCCAAAGUGGACCUAGGAAAAAAGUGGGAAGCUAUCGCAGUGGAGUUGAAUAGUUUGGGGCCUCCACAACGCGACUCAACCAAGUGGCAAAGAGUAUGGAUUGAUCAAAAAACGAAAAUUAAAAAAAAAGUUACAAAAAAUAAGAUAGAGACAAUUGCAACUGGCGGAGGACCUAAUAAAACAAUCCGAUUGACUGAUGAUGAAGAAGCAGUAAGUCGCCUAAUGCAUUUUAA